AUCAACGUUUUCAAAAACUAAAAGCUUUCAAAAACCAACAUCAUUCAUCAUCAAUAUACAAUACACCUGGUCAUUUAAAAUAACACAUUUCAAUUAUCAUGAAUAUUCAGGAACAUGCGUUCGCAGCGGAAAAUAAUGAAUACUCAUGUAUUUCAUAAAAUGAUUCAUGUCCCAUACCAUGAUCAUCUCUCAAUAAUCUCCUCAAGAUAACUAAAAACCAUAUCCAGAAUAUUUGGCACUAUGGCCUCUCAAACAGCAAAU
rnacentral:lncRNA from 1 species